rnacentral:rRNA from 1 species
ACUCCUACGGGAGGCAGCAGUGGGGAAUAUUGCACAAUGGGCGCAAGCCUGAUGCAGCCAUGCCGCGUGUAUGAAGAAGGCCUUCGGGUUGUAAAGUACUUUCAGCAGUGAGGAAGGUGGGUAUGUUAAUAGCAUACUCAUUUGACGUUAGCUGCAGAAGAAGCACCGGCUAACUCCGUGCCAGCAGCCGCGGUAAUACGGAGGGUGCGAGCGUUAAUCGGAAUUACUGGGCGUAAAGCGCAUGCAGGUGGUUUGUUAAGUCAGAUGUGAAAGCCCGGGGCUCAACCUCGGAAUUGCAUUUGAAACUGGCAAACUAGAGUACUGUAGAGGGGGGUAGAAUUUCAGGUGUAGCGGUGAAAUGCGUAGAGAUCUGAAGGAAUACCGGUGGCGAAGGCGGCCCCCUGGACAGAUACUGACACUCAGAUGCGAAAGCGUGGGGAGCAAACAGGAUUAGAUACCCUGGUAGGCUC